rnacentral:rRNA from 1 species
UAACGAGCGCAACCCCUACCCUUUAGUUGCCAUCAGGUUAAGCUGGGGACGUCUAAAGGAACUGCCUACGCAAGUAGUGAGGAAGGCGGGGAGUGACGUCAAAUCAGCACGGCCCUUACGUCCAGGGCUACACACGUGCUACAAUGGCCGAUACAGAGGGCAGCUACCUGGUGACAGGAUGCAAAUCUCCAAAGUCGGUCUCAGUUCGGAUCGGAGUCUGCAACCCGACUCCGUGAAGCUGGAUUCGCUAGUAAUCGCGCAUCAGCCACGGCGCGGUGAAUACGUUCCCGGGCCUC